rnacentral:lncRNA from 1 species
AAGAAUCCAAUUGUUGGAGACGACUGGAAUGUUGAGGAGAUCCAAAAAGAACAAGGGAAAAAUAUAAAGAAGGUCAAAUUAAUAGCUUCAUUUGGAAAAUAAAAAUUUAUAGCCAAGUGGAAUGGAUUUUAAGUUUUUAAAAAUUUUAAAAUAUAUUAUAUUAUAUUUAAAGCUACGUGGCUUUAUAGCAUUGGAUUUGUGGGCUCCACACAUGUGACAUGUCA